CCUACGGGAGGCAGCAGUGAGGAAUAUUGGUCAAUGGGCGGGAGCCUGAACCAGCCAAGCCGCGUGAGGGAAGAAGGUACAGCGUAUCGUAAACCUCUUUUGUCAGGGAACAAAGGCGGGGACUAGUCCCCGGAUGAGGGUACCUGAAGAAAAAGCAUCGGCUAACUCCGUGCCAGUAGCCGCGGUAAUACGGAGGAUGUGAGCGUUAUCCGGAUUUAUUGGGUUUAAAGGGUGCGGAGGCGGCCUGUUAAGUCAGCGGGAAAAGCCCGGGGCUCAACCCCGGCGAGCCGUUGAAACUGGCGGGCUGUAGUUGGAGAGACGUACGCGGAAUGCGCGGUGUAGCGGUGAAAUGCUUAGAUAUCGCGCAGAACCCCGAUUGCGAAGGCAGCGUACCGGCUCCACACUGACGCUGAGGCACGAAAGCGUGGGUAUCGAACAGGAUUAGAUACCCGGGUAGUC
rnacentral:rRNA from 1 species